UACGUAGGGUGCGAGCGUUGUCCGGAUUUAUUGGGCGUAAAGAGCUUGUAGGCGGUUAGUCGCGUCGUAAGUGCAAACUCAGGGCUUAACCCUGAGCCUGCUUUCGAUACGGGCUGACUAGAGGAAGGUAGGGGAGAAUGGAAUUCCCGGUGGAGCGGUGGAAUGCGCAGAUAUCGGGAGGAACACCAGUGGCGAAGGCGGUUCUCUGGACCUUUCCUGACGCUGAGAAGCGAAAGCGUGGGGAGCAAACAGGCUUAGAAACCCUGGUAGUCC
rnacentral:rRNA from 1 species